AAUAAUAAACCGUAGAUAAAGCAGUACUGUAAUUGAAUUUAUUAUUUUCAAUUCUUUGAUGUCUAGGUAUAUAACUUAAUAUGUGAGAUUAUAAUUUAAUCAAUGAAUAUAUUACAUCAUAUAGUCAAUCGCUAUUUACAAAAAUAACCUCCAUAGGUGUUAUAUAGAUAAAUAAUUGAUAUAUAAACACAGUUGUAAGGAUUCCUGUUUGCAAAUCUAAGGAAAACCUAUCCAUAUGGAUAAUAGUUGAAUCUGUGGUGUUCUAUGUACAUAGAAAAAAGAAAAAAGAAAAAAUGAAUAAAAAAAUGAAAAAAUGAAAGAAAUAUGAAAAAUGAUGAAAAAUUGAAAAAAUAUAAAAGAGAAAAAAAUGGCCCAUGUACUGUGACGACACUUUCAUUGCGGACAACUCCGAUUUGAUACACAGCAGCAACAACUUUGAGGGAGACAUAUGAGGACCACAUCUGACACCUUUAUUGAGUCCUUUUUUCAGCGCACAGCAGGAAUUCAGCAGUUUAAAAUCCUCCAAUAGACACUUCACAGAGUCUUCAUUCAUUCAUUUUUUCCAGUUGCUACUAAGGCUACAAUCCAUCUGGAUAUUCAACUUGGUGAGAUCCACCUAUUUAUUAUAUAAAGUGCACUAUUCUCUGGACUAUUGUACAUCAGGACAUUUACUAUCUGU